rnacentral:tRNA from 1 species
AGAGAAACUCAGGUUAA